UUUAUGGAGAGUUUGAUCCUGGCUCAGGAUGAACGCUGGCGGCGUGCCUAAUACAUGCAAGUCGAGCGAACAGAUAAGGAGCUUGCUCCUUUGACGUUAGCGGCGGACGGGUGAGUAACACGUGGGUAACCUACCUAUAAGACUGGGAUAACUUCGGGAAACCGGAGCUAAUACCGGAUAACAUUUGGAACCGCAUGGUUCUAAAGUGAAAGAUGGUUUUGCUAUCACUUAUAGAUGGACCCGCGCCGUAUUAGCUAGUUGGUAAGGUAACGGCUUACCAAGGCGACGAUACGUAGCCGACCUGAGAGGGUGAUCGGCCACACUGGAACUGAGACACGGUCCAGACUCCUACGGGAGGCAGC
rnacentral:rRNA from 1 species